UACAGAGGCCUCGAGCGUUAGGCGGAUCACUGGGCUUAAAGCGUGUGUAGGCGGACUUCUAAGUACCUUGUGAAAUCCCACGGCUCACCCGUGGAACUGCUUGGUAUACUGGUCGUCUUGAGCCUUCUAGGGGCGAGUGGAACAAAUGGUGGAGCGGUGAAAUGCGUAGAUAUCAUUUGGAACGCCAAUGGUGAAAACAACGCGCUGGGGAAGUGCUGACGCUGAGACACGAAAGCCAGGGGAGCGAACGGG
rnacentral:rRNA from 1 species